rnacentral:misc_RNA from 1 species
AAGGAGUCUAACAUAUAUGCGAGUAUUUGGGUGGCAAACCCUUAUGCGAAAUGAAAGUGAGUACGAGUGGGAUCCCGCAAGGGCGCACCAUUGACCGAUCUUGAUAUCUCUUGAUAGAUUCGGGUUAGAGCAUAGCUGUUGGGACCCGAAAGAUGUUGAACUAUGCUUGGAUAGGGUGAAGCCAGAGGAAACUCUGGUGGAGGCUCGCAGCCGUUCUGACGUGCAAAUCGAUCGUCAAAUUUGGGCAUAGGGGCGAAAGACUAAUCGAACCAUCUAGUAGCUGGUUCCCUC